AAGUCGUAACAAGGUUUCCGUAGGUGAACCUGCGGAAGGAUCAUUACCGAGUGUAGGGUUCCUAGCGAGCCCAACCUCCCACCCGUGUUUACUGUACCUUAGUUGCUUCGGCGGGCCCGCCAUUCAUGGCCGCCGGGGGCUCUCAGCCCCGGGCCCGCGCCCGCCGGAGACACCACGAACUCUGUCUGAUCUAGUGAAGUCUGAGUUGAUUGUAUCGCAAUCAGUUAAAACUUUCAACAAUGGAUCUCUUGGUUCCGGCAUCGAUGAAGAACGCAGCGAAAUGCGAUAACUAGUGUGAAUUGCAGAAUUCCGUGAAUCAUCGAGUCUUUGAACGCACAUUGCGCCCCCUGGUAUUCCGGGGGGCAUGCCUGUCCGAGCGUCAUUGCUGCCCAUCAAGCACGGCUUGUGUGUUGGGUCGUCGUCCCCUCUCCGGGGGGGACGGGCCCCAAAGGCAGCGGCGGCACCGCGUCCGAUCCUCGAGCGUAUGGGGCUUUGUCACCCGCUCUGUAGGCCCGGCCGGCGCUUGCCGAACGCAAAUCAAUCUUUUUCCAGGUUGACCUCGGAUCAGGUAGGGAUACCCGGUGAACUUAAGCAUAU
rnacentral:rRNA from 1 species